UCGCAACCAUUGUGACGUCGCAGUGGCGAGGGGCGCUUCCGGGUCCUAGGCCGGCUCCGAGUGGGAUUGGCUGAGCCGACGGGUCCUCUCUUCGCCCGAUUGGCUGGGGGUGGGUCCGGCGGGAGAGUUCGAAAGAACGCCGAAACAGAAAAAUAAGUGCAUUAACUACCUGUGAAAAUAAAAAAAAAUGGACUCAGGUAUAAUAGAUCUGAAUGAAGAUGGCCUGAUCUUAUGCAGUGGACCUGAUCAAUGCAUGCAGGGAAAUGAAGAUUCUUCUGCAGAUGAAGAAAAAGAAGCAUUCAAGUAAAUAAGAAGAGUAACUCUGGGCAGACUGAAAAUCAUCCAUUUGCACAAGAAGAGUCAAGUUCAAGUUCAAGACAUGCUAGACUACAACUCACAUAAUCCCCAGCAAGAAUACUCAUCUUGGCUGAUGGUGCUGUACACAUCAGAACAAGAAAUCCAUCUUUUUUCUGUAUCUAAUGAUAUUCUGCAUAUAAUGUAUAUGAUGUUUUUCUGUAUAUUAUGAGACACUUUGACACUGUUCAUACAGAAAAUGAAAUGUUGCAUUAUAUAGGUUGAAGCUCUAAUACCCAAUAUUGGGACAAAAUCUUUUUGUCACAGAUAAAUAUAUACCGAUGUAUAUUAUUUUUCAACAGCCAUCUUCUCAGUAAAAUAAAUACAGUUAAUCUACAAUUCAAAGUAAUUGUAAAUAACAAGUCUUUAUUACACUUUUCUGGUUGUUUAAUUGGAGAAGUUGUACAUGUACAUUAAGUUUAAAAUUAAAACCAAAAUCAAGGGAAAAUCCAUUAACAAGACAUGUAUAUAUCAUGUACAAUUUUAAGCAAAAUGAAAAAUACAUAAUUGUACCAUAAAACAGCUAUCUUCAAGUUUAAAAAUAAUUUAGGUUUCUCCUCUUUUUACAUUUAUACAGAAAAGCAAUAGAAAGUUAUUUCCGUUUGGCUCAAAAACUAAGAACAUCAUAAACAACUCCAUCAAAACACUUUUUGUGAAAAGUGCUUAACCACAUCUUAAGAGACUAGUGACUUUCACACAUGUUUAGUGCAAAUGUCUUUAAAAAGCCACUGCUAAUAAGCAAAUCUGUCGUUCUGUGUCUUUCUAUGCACAAAAUCGCUCACAGCUUAAAUAAAAGA